GACGAACGCUGGCGGCGUGCCUAAUACAUGCAAGUCGAACGCAGUGGGGACGGUUGGGUAACACGUGGGUAACCUCCCAUCAGAGGGGAUAACCCUUGGAAACAGGUGCUAAACCGAUACGGCUGGAUGAACCCGCGGUGCAUUAGCUAGUUGGUGGGGUAACGGCUCACCAAGUCCACGAUGCCUAGCGGACCUGAGAGGGGGACAUGCCACACUGGGACUGAGACACGGCCCAGACUCCUACGGGAGGCAGCAGUAGGGAAUCUUCGGCAAUGGACGAAAGUCUGACCGAGCAACGCCGCGUGAGUGAAGAAGGUUUUCGGGUCGUAAAACUCUGUUGUUAGAGAAGCGGUAUCUAACCAGAAAGCCACGGCUAACUCCGUGCCAGCCGCCGCGGUAAUAC
rnacentral:rRNA from 1 species